GACGAACGCUGGCGGCGUGCUUAACACAUGCAAGUCGAACGGAGUGGCGAACGGGGGAGUAACACGUGGGUGAACUGCCCUGCAAUUACGGAUAAGCCUGGGAAAAUGGGUCUAAUACCGGAUAGUGUGGGAUGGGCGGGGGGCUUAUCAGCUUGUUGGUGGAGUAAUGGCCUACCACGGCGGCGACGGGUAGCCGGCCUGAGAGGGUGGACGGCGACAAGGGGCCUGAGAGACGGCCCAGAAUCCUACGUGAGGCAGCAGGGGGGAAUCUGGCACAACUGGGGGAAGUCAGAUGCAUGGACCCUGCGUGGGUGAUGACGGCUUUCGGGUGGUAAACUCCUGUCACAAUCGCCGCGGUAGAUGGAGAAGAAGCACCGGCUAACUACGUGCCAGCAGCCGCGGUAAUAC
rnacentral:rRNA from 1 species